rnacentral:rRNA from 1 species
GUUGAACGCUGGCGGCAGGCUUAACACAUGCAAGUCGAGCGGGGGAAGGUAGCUUGCUACCGGACCUAGCGGCGGACGGGUGAGUAAUGCUUAGGAAUCUGCCUAUUAGUGGGGGACAACAUCUCGAAAGGGAUGCUAAUACCGCAUACGUCCUACGGGAGAAAGCAGGGGAUCUUCGGACCUUGCGCUAAUAGAUGAGCCUAAGUCGGAUUAGCUAGUUGGUGGGGUAAAGGCCUACCAAGGCGACGAUCUGUAGCGGGUCUGAGAGGAUGAUCCGCCACACUGGGAUUGAGACACGGCCCAGACUCUUACGGGAGGCAGCAGUGGGGAAUAUUGGACAAUGGGGGGAACCCUGAUCCAGCCAUGCCGCGUGUGUGAAGAAGGCCUUAUGGUUGUAAAGCACUUUAAGCGAGGAGGAGGCUACUUUAGUUAAUACCUAGAGAUAGUGGACGUUACUCGCAGAAUAAGCACCGGCUAACUCUGUGCCAGCAGCCGCGGUAA